ensembl:misc_RNA
AGGCACCUGCUGCUCACCUUUCCCCCAACACCUUCUUCCCCGGUGCCUCCCAGGUGUCGAUGCUGAAGGGCUAAGUCCUUUGAAGGAAGGGUCAUACUAUGUAAGGAAGGGAUUUGGUUUUAGGAAGCCAAUUUAUUAAGAUAAGUGAAAGCACAUGAAGUCAGGAUUCACGUUCCGGAAGCUCCUGCUGACCGUG